AGCAGAUAAAGGCAGAUAUUAGGCCUGCCCUUGAUGGAACAGGACUGCGGCUGGCUUUAAUUCUGAGUAUCUGCUCAGGAGGAUGGGGAACCAUGGUGCAGCUUAGCCUCAGCUACAGACUGAGCAGGUUGGCUGCGCAGAGAGGAUGGGCUCUGUGUACUGGAUUGAUUUUUCUUCUCCUAUCGCUGCCGUGCCUCCUUUUGUGGUUCAGUAGCUGGACAUCCAGGAGCAAGGAUCUCUCAGUCGCUGCCUGAAUCGUGCAAGAGCCGUCUGGAUCUCCGGAGGAACAGAGUCACAUGCAGCAAUACCAAAAGCAGCUUCAGAGCAAGACUCAGCAGGCCCAGGAGCUCCAGAGUCAGCUGCAGUUAAAGGGCGUCAGAUGGAGGCAGAGAAUGACACACUAAUGGAAUGUAAGCUGGAGUGGAGAGCUCAGGAAAUGCUCUGUGCAGAGUGCAGCAUGGGGCAGACUGGCUACAGAAAGAUCUGUAAAGAUCUGGAGGCUCAGCUGGGGCAAAGACCUACCUCGGUUAUACAGUACCAGAAUACAGGACACAGGACACCAGACACCAGGAACAGGGUGAUACAACCACUGCUUGGCCUGAUACCAUGUGGGUUCACACAGUCACAGUCGCUGCCUAAUCCCAGCAGCGCUGGCUCAGGAACAGAUUACUGCUUCCAGACACCAGAGGAGAGGAGAGGAGAGCAGAGCAGGGUGGGGGUUGGAGGGUCGAAAGAGAUGCCUCAGUGAUACAAUACAGAGAGAUUGAAGGGGCCAGCACAUACUGAAGCGAAGAUCAUGCUGCUACAUACAGAGUUGUCCAACAUGGCUGCCUUAUUCAGCGGGUACAGUGCUCCCAACCACAGCCAACAGAAUCGUACUGUGAUUUUACAAGGAGGAGAACAGAUUUCUGAACUACAGGUGGAGAUACACAGGCCAAAGACGCUGCAAGGAUGUAGGAUGAGUGGCAAGAGCUGCAA